AUUGAACGCUGGCGGCAUGCCUUACACAUGCAAGUCGAGCGGUAACGGGCCCUCGGGUGCCGACGAGUGGCGAACGGGUGAGUAAUGUAUCGGAACGUACCUUUCAGUGGGGGAUAACGUAGCGAAAGUUACGCUAAUACCGCAUAUUCUGUGAGCAGGAAAGCAGGGGAUCGCAAGACCUUGCGCUGAUUGAGCGGCCGAUAUCAGAUUAGCUAGUUGGUGAGGUAAAGGCUCACCAAGGCGACGAUCUGUAGCGGGUCUGAGAGGAUGAUCCGCCACACUGGAACUGAGACACGGUCCAGACUCCUACGGGAGGCAGCAGUGGGGAAUUUUGGACAAUGGGGGCAACCCUGAUCCAGCCGUGCCGCGUGAGUGAAGAAGGCCUUCGGGUUGUAAAGCUCUUUCGGCCGGGAAGAAAUCGUAUCAGCUAAUACCUGGUGCGGAUGACGGUACCGGCAUAAGAAGCACCGGCUAACUACGUGCCAGCCGCCGCAGUAACAC
rnacentral:rRNA from 1 species